UACGGAGGGGGCUAGCGUUGUUCGGAAUUACUGGGCGUAAAGCGCGCGUAGGCGGCUUUGUAAGUUAGAGGUGAAAGCCCGGAGCUCAACUCCGGAAUUGCCUUUAAGACUGCAUCGCUAGAAUCAUGGAGAGGUUAGUGGAGUUCCGAGUGUAGAGGUGAAAUUCGUAGAUAUUCGGAAGAACACCAGUGGCGAAGGCGACUAACUGGACAUGUAUUGACGCUGAGGUGCGAAAGCGUGGGGAGCAAACAGG
rnacentral:rRNA from 1 species